UCAAGUGACUAAGUGCAUGUGGCGGAUGCCUUGGCGAUCACAGGCGAAGAAAGACGCGGCAGCCUGCGAAAAGCUGCGGGGAGCUGGCAAACGAGCUUUGAUCCGCAGAUAUCUGAAUGGGGGAACCCACACCGCAAGGUGUAUCCGUGACUGAAUACAUAGGUUACGGAGGCGAACGAGGAGAACUGAAACAUCUAAGUAUCCUCAGGAAAAGAAAUCAACCGAGAUUCCGGCAGUAGCGGCGAGCGAACCCGGAGGAGCCUAGCUUUUGAUAGUACGAACUUUAGCCGAAAGGUCCUGGAAAGGCCUGCUAUAGUGGGUGAUAGCCCCGUAGGCGAAAGAGUUCGUAUGGUACUAAGGAAGCGAGAAGUAGAGCGGGACACGUGGAAUCCUGUUCGAAGAUGGGGGGACCAUCCUCCAAGGCUAAAUACUCGUGAUCGACCGAUAGUGAACCAGUACCGUGAGGGAAAGGCGAAAAGAACCCCGGGAGGGGAGUGAAAUAGAACCUGAAACCGCAUGCAUACAAACAGUAGGAGCCUCGUCAGAGGUGACUGCGUACCUUUUGCAUAAUGGGUCAGCGACUUACAUUCUGUGGCGAGCUUAACCGAAUAGGGGAGGCGCAGCGAAAGCGAGUUCGAAAUGAGCGUCCAGUCGCAGGGUGUAGACCCGAAACCAGAUGAGCUAUCCAUGGCCAGGUUGAAGGUGUGGUAACACACACUGGAGGACCGAACCGACUAGUGUUGCAAAAUUAGCGGAUGAGCUGUGGAUAGGGGUGAAAGGCCAAACAAAUCUGGAGAUAGCUGGUUCUCCCCGAAAACUAUUGAGGUAGUGCCUCGUGUGUCGCUCCAGGGGGUAGAGCACUGUUUUGGCUAGGGGGACAUGGAGUCUUACCAAACCAAGGCAAACUCCGAAUACCUGGAAGCGUAAGCACGGGAGACAGAGCACCGGGUGCUAACGUCCGGACUCAAAAGGGAAACAACCCAGACCGCCGGCUAAGGUCCCCAAUAACAGCUAAGUGGAAAACGAAGUGGAAAGGCCGUGACAACCAGGAAGUUGGCUUAGAAGCAGCCAUCCUUCAAAGAAAGCGUAAUAGCUCACUGGUCGAGUCCUUCUGCGCGGAAGAUGUAACGGGGCUAAGCUGUUAACCGAAGCCGCGGAUGCACUGAUUAUUCAGUGCGUGGUAGGGGAGCGUUCUGUAAGUCUGCGAAGGCGGUUCGAGAGGACUGCUGGAGAUAUCAGAAGUGCGAAUGCUGACAUGAGUAACGUUAAAGCAGGUGAAAAGCCUGCUCGCCGUAAGCCCAAGGAUUCCUGCUCUACGUUCAUCGGAGCAGGGUGAGUCGGCUCCUAAGGUCAGGCCGAAAGGCGUAGCCGAUGGGAAUCAGGUUAAUAUUCCUGAACCUGCGUCAGAUGCGAUGGGGGGACGGAGCAUGAAAGAUCAUCCGGGUGUUGGAUGUCCCGGUUGACGAGCGUAGGAGGUCUGCAGGCAAAUCCGCAGACGCAUCUCCAAGGCGAAGACACGUGCCGCCACGGCGGCGAAGUGAUCGGAAGUGCUUCCAAGAAAAGCCUCUAAGCACCAGUCUGACGCGGACCGUACCGCAAACCGACACUGGUGGGCGAGCUGAAUAUGCUCAGGCGCUUGAGAGAACUCGGGAGAAGGAACUCGGCAAAUUGACACCGUAACUUCGGAAGAAGGUGUGCCGUAGUAGCGUGAGAGGAGAGACACCUUGAGCGUGAAUCGGUCUCAGAGAAUAGGUGGCUGCGACUGUUUAUUAAAAACACAGCACUCUGCAAAGUCGAAAGACGACGUAUAGGGUGUGAUGCCUGCCCGGUGCUGGAAGAUUAAUUGAUGGGGUGAGAGCCCUUGAUCGAAGUCCCAGUAAACGGCGGCCGUAACUAUAACGGUCCUAAGGUAGCGAAAUUCCUUGUC
rnacentral:rRNA from 1 species